AUCUGCAUCCAUCUUUCCUAUUCUCUCGCUCCAUCUCUCAUCCUCUCUCAAAUCUCUCUGACCGGUGGACUCCGUGUGGGCGGAGCGAAGAGGGAGCCAAGCCAGCCGAGCCGACCCCUCUCCUCUUUCCCUUUCUCGCAGCGAUUCGCAAUUUGCCCCUUCUCGCUCCAUCUCUCUUUCUCAUCCCGUGCUUCCACCGAUAUGCGUAGCCAACGACAUUUAAGCGCUAUGAGACGGCUGCUCGGCGAAGUUCGUUCCCGGGUUGCCGGCGUGUUCAAUCGGGUGACUGCAUGCAGGCCCGGAUGUGAAGCCUCCAAAAUCGCUGGUGCCCCCGUUCCACCUGAGCCGAUGUGAAGCCAAGUCGCUGGCACCCCGUUCUAGACCACCAGAUCCGGAGUGCCACCGACGGUUCCUGUCCCCAUCACGCCCGCGUCAACGACCGCCAAGUUGCUGGCACCUCGUUCCAGACCACCAGAUCUGGAGCGCCGCCGCCGGAUCUCGUCCCCAUCACGCCUGCGUCAACGACCGCCGCGGAACCCUCCUCGGCUCCUCCUCCUCAACGAUUCACGGCAAGAACUGGGACAGCACCGUGCCCUUCCCCGUCUCCAACACUACAGUGCUCGCGCCGUCGGUGCUGUCGUAUUUAUUAUCAUUCGAAUAUGUGUGGAUUUGACCCCUUCGAUUGCCUUCCCAUCAUGUUUUGUUCAUUCUUUUCUGAAUCUGAUUCUCAUGCCUGGUGCGAAUUUUCUAUAAAUCGUGGUGAGGAUUUGUUCCUUCUUUCCCGGUUAUAAUUCAUUGAAUCAGCC
rnacentral:rRNA from 1 species